GGAAGGGGUUUGCGGCAAUGUUAGUGACAUUCUGCCUCCAGAAACUACAUGUUGGGGGAGAAUUUCAAACUGUUUCCAGGAGCCGAGGAGGCAGAUGCAAGUUAGAAACCUUUGAAGGAGAUGAAUAGCAGGAAGCAUCUCUAAAAGACCCACAACGGCAUUACUGCAGAAAAACCAGCUGCAAAAUGAGGUAAUGACUCUUCAGUACUCCAAGAAGCUGGCACAAGUCCUCCGUGUUUCCUCUCCCUAUCUAUCAGCAUUGCAUUAAAAGAUCUUCAAGUGUUUGCAGGCGGAUGUGGUGGAGAUGCUGACCACUCCUUCUGCAGGUGGUACAACGAUGCAUAGGUCAACAUCUCCAUGCACUCAGCAACACAAGAACCAGCUCCACUGUGAUUUUUUUCAUCUUAGAAUCUUAGAAUCGUAGAAUUGUUAAAGUUGGAAAGGACCCUUAAAAGCCAUCUGGUCCAACCCCCUGCACUGAACAUGGACACCCACAGCUCCAUCAGGUGCUCAGAGCCCGUCCAGCCUGACCUUGGCUGUCUGCAGGGAUGGGGCACCACCACCUGUCUGGGCAACCUGUGCCUCACUACUCUUAUAGUAAAAAACUUCUUCCUUACAUCCAGUCUAAAUCUCCUCUCUUUUAGCUUGAAACCAUUUCCCCUUGUUCUGUCACAACAGACCCUGCUGAAGAGCCUAUCCCCUACUUUCUUACAGCCCCCCUUUAGACACUGAAAUACUGAAAGUGAUCCAUAACUCAAAGUGAACAGCAAGCUGCAGAAAGGGCUUCACUCUUUGGCCCUGCCUCCAUUCUAUCUCUGCAGACUUUCUGCGAUCCAGGGGCAUUAUUCCAUCAAGCCAUGAGUCCUUCUUCCCAAACACAAGCAGGUGGGACCUCCACAUCCCAUCACCCCCAGUUUCCCCCCUCACUCAGAGCUGGGAGACGUGACAGAGUUGGGUGCUAAAAUCACCCAGCCCCUCAGAAAAGACAAUAUAAUUUCCCUGUCAUUUCCCACCAAAGCAAAUACCCCUCUGGCCAUAUGCUCAAGCUGUGGCAGACGCCGGCCCCACUCCCAUGCUCGUUAUUUACUCGCCACUUACUGCCUUCCUUCUGCCCCAGUGACCCCAAUGUUCACCCGUCCCCGCUCUGCCGUUAACCCCAUUUGGGUUUAGGGGAUGAUUCAUUCUCAGAGCCCGAGGUUUUCCACAUCAAAAAGCUCUCUUACCAUGGGAACUCCCAUGGGCAAUGGGAUGGAGGAACUCCCCGGGACCACACGACCCCACUCCCACCACCAAUGGCUGCAGAUGAGCAUGGAAAUCCUGCUGCUCUCUUUAAGUCCCUCUCUGCAUUAGCACCAGAGCUCUCACACAUUUUGCCUUGUCUUUUCCUUUUUUCUUUUUGGCCAUGUGUCACUAAUUUUA
ensembl:lncRNA